rnacentral:lncRNA from 1 species
AUUCCAGUGGGAGUAACACCCAGAUCCUCUGUAUGUAAAAAGGAAUUGAAGAAAGGAUUGGAGGUCUUAAAGGGGGUCUCACCACUGCAGCCAUCAUCAAAAGUGGUUAUUACCGGGACUCAUAUUGUGAAUUGCAGCUCCAGCUCGACUGCAAGAACAAACCAGCAAUCCCGAGAGGACCCACAGACCCUCUAAAGGAAGUGGACUGCUCCUGCAGGACCUGGGAGACACCCCAAAUAUUGUCUAUAAACUCAAUUUUAGGAAGUCAAGUAUCUUCCCGAAAGUCACACAAGUAAAGAUGGACUUGGGUCUCUAAUCCAUUUGUUUGACUUCAAAACAUGUUAUCUCCAUUCCACUACCUCUUCUGUUCAGUGGAAUGAAAGAGGUUAAAACAGUUCACAGGGUCCAUGGAGUGAAUGAAAAAUGAAAAUGGGAAGAUAAAAUACAGAUUAUAGUUUUCAAGGAUUGGAGCUGGAAGGAGUUGCCUGUUUGAGAGCUGUGUUAAGGUCUGAGAAACAUGUGCAUGUUGUGCACUGCAAGAAAGGAAUCAAGAGGAAGGAGAGGAUGGAGAUAUAGAAGAUGAAAAUCAGCCAGAGUAACAAGGCUCCAGGAAAGCCACAUGGCUAUGUGCAUCCCUUAGAGAAACAAAUU